rnacentral:rRNA from 1 species
CGAGUGAACCGGGAUGAGCUCAAAUUUAAAAUCUGGCGUCUUUCAGGCGUCCGAGUUGUAAUCUAUAGAGGCGUUUUCCGCGCCGGACCGCGUCCAAGUCUCUUGGAAUAGAGUAUCAAAGAGGGUGACAAUCCCGUACUUGACGCGACAACCGGUGCUCUGUGAUACGUUCUCAAUGAGUCGAGUUGUUUGGGAAUGCAGCUCUAAAUGGGUGGUAAAUUCCAUCUAAGGCUAAAUAUUGGCGAGAGACCGAUAGCGAACAAGUACCGUGAGGGAAAGAUGAAAAGCACUUUGGAAAGAGAGUUAAACAGCACGUGAAAUUGUUAAAAGGGAAACGAUUGAAGUCAGUCGUGUGAAAGGUAUUCAGCCGUCUCUGGCGGUGUAUUUGCCUUUCACGGGUCAACAUCAGUUUGAUCCGGUAGAAAAAGGCAGGAAGAAGGUGGCACCCUCGGGUGUGUUAUAGCUUCUUGUCAUAUGUGCCGGACCAGACUGAGGAACGCAGCUUGCCGCAAGGCCGGGGUUCGCCCACGUACAAGCUUAGG